UGAUGAUGUCAGUCUAGCAGAGAGUAGGGAAGAAGAUGAACUUUGUGGCGAACAGUUGCAUAAUAAUAAUAACAUGAAAGCAAAGGAAAAAAAUUUGAAUCCUGAGGUGGAGGAACAAACUGCUUCUUCUGCUGAACAAACAACACCUAGUCCCAAGUGUAACGUUCCACAGGGAAAGGCUGAGCCAGUGAGACGCCAAACUCAAAGUGGACCACUUUCACCCGGUACUUUGUUAACUAAUUCGGAUUCAGACAAGGGCCAUGGUUACUAUUUAAGGUUUGCCAUUAGCUAAUUAUUGUUCUAAAGAUUAUUGGAUUACUCAGUGUUAUACCAAUCAGAUGUUCUUCUCCUUUCUCUUUGAAAUUUCAAAUGAUCCAACUUGAAAGUGUCCUCCUAUCUGCUAGGCCUGAGAGUGAACGCCAGCCAGCACCAUCGGCCCAGAGGGCACCCAGCUUUAGUGGACCACUGAAUCUUCCUAACCGUGCUUCAGCAAACAGGUAUCCAGAUGGGUUUGAAGAGUCUGCUAUAUGUUCUAUGUUGAAAGAAACACUUAAAGCUCUUGAUUAUCUUCAUAGACAAGGGCAUAUUCACCGGGAUGUUAAGGUCAGCUUAGCUUUGCUUGAAAUUGUUUCACACUAUGUAUUGAAAACCCCUCUUCAUGAUAGGCUGGAAACAUACUUCUUGACAACACUGGGGAGGUUAAGCUAGGUGAUUUUGGUGUCUCUGCGUGCUUGUUUGACAGUGGAGAUAGGCAACGUGCAAGAAACACAUUUGUUGGUACCCCAUGCUGGUUGGUUAUUGUAGUUUUCUUCAGUUUGGUCUCAUUAGCCUUCUCUCUACUCGAUGAUUGAACAAGUAAUAUCUUGUUUCUGUUUGUAGGAUGGCUCCCGAAGUCUUGCAGCCAGGAAGUGGAUACAAUUCCAAGUGAGUGUUGCGAUUGUUUCAGACCCAAAUCGACUAUCUUUUCUCAAAUAUAUAUUAAAAAAAAGAUCUUUAGAAAAUAAAAGCUUUUGGUUGGUUUGGUCUUAUUCUGUAUCUUCCUGACAGGGCUGAUAUCUGGUCUUUUGGAAUAACUGCUCUGGAGUUGGCUCAUGGUCAUGCACCUUUCUCCAAAUAUCCCCCCAUGAAGGUAUUCAAUACUUUUCAUGUGUUUUGAGAACAGACCUUAUUCCUUUUUCCCCCGUUUAACAGGUACUAUUAAUGACUAUUCAAAAUGCGCCGCCUGGCCUUGAUUAUGACCGUGACAAAAAGUUCUCAAAGGUACUUCUUGUGUUCUUUCUAGGUAGAUUCUUAUGUUAUCUUCCGUUUGCAAGACUUUGCUCUAAUUAAAAGAUGUUUAGCUGAGCCCAGUCCUUUAAAGAGAUGGUAGCAUUGUGUCUGGUGAAAGACCAAACAAAAAGGCCAACCGCUGAAAAGUUGUUGAAACACUCAUUUUUCAAGAACGCAAAGCCUCCAGAGAUUUGUGUCAAAAAGUUGUUUGCUGAUUUGCCACCUCUCUGGACACGAGUAAAAACUCUUGAGGUUCGGCAUGCUUUUAUCUUCUUCAAGCUUGUUGUUCUCUUCCUGUUCGACUCUGAUUGAUAAGAGUUGUCUAAUGACAGGCCAAGGACGCUGCACAGCUUGCUUUGAAAGGAAUUGCCUCUGCUGACCAGGAAGCUAUAUCACAGGUGACAAAAGUUUUGAAAUUUGUAUGACUCAAGAGUCGAAAAUUGCAACAAUGCUUCUAAGAAGAGUUACUUUUUCAUGUCAGAGUGAAUACCAAAGAGGAGUAAGUGCGUGGAACUUCAAUGUUGAAGAUUUGAAAGAACAAGCAUCUUUGGUAAGCUAUGUUUUGAUUAUAUCUAGUGUGACCCAAUGGUUUCCAUCAGUUAAUCAAGUGGUUACAUUCUUGUUUUUUGUGCAAAUAGCUAGAUGAUGAUGUCAGUCUAGCAGAGAGUAGGGAAGAAGAUGAACUUUGUGGCGAACAGUUGCAUAAUAAUAAUAACAUGAAAGCAAAGGAAAAAAAUUUGAAUCCUGAGGUGGAGGAACAAACUGCUUCUUCUGCUGAACAAACAACACCUAGUCCCAAGUGUAACGUUCCACAGGGAAAGGCUGAGCCAGUGAGACGCCAAACUCAAAGUGGACCACUUUCACCCGGUACUUUGUUAACUAAUUCGGAUUCAGACAAGGGCCAUGGUUACUAUUUAAGGUUUGCCAUUAGCUAAUUAUUGUUCUAAAGAUUAUUGGAUUACUCAGUGUUAUACCAAUCAGAUGUUCUUCUCCUUUCUCUUUGAAAUUUCAAAUGAUCCAACUUGAAAGUGUCCUCCUAUCUGC
rnacentral:lncRNA from 1 species